UCCAGACUCCUACGGGAGGCAGCAGUGGGGGAUAUUGCACAAUGGGGGGAACCCUGAUGCAGCGACGCCGCGUGGGUGAAGGAGCGUUUCGGCGCGUAAAGCCCUAUCGGCAGGGAAGAAGGAGGACGGUACCUGACUAAGAAGCCCCGGCUAACUACGUGCCAGCAGCCGCGGUAAUACGUAGGGGGCAAGCGUUAUCCGGAUUUACUGGGUGUAAAGGGGGCGCAGACGGCAGCGCAAGCCAGGAGUGAAAGCCCGGGGCCCAACCCCGGGACUGCUCUUGGAACUGCGCGGCUGGAGUGCAGGAGGGGCAGGCGGAAUUCCUGGUGUAGCGGUGAAAUGCGUAGAUAUCAGGAGGAACACCGGUGGCGAAGGCGGCCUGCUGGACUGCGACUGACGUUGAGGCCCGAAAGCGUGGGGAGCAAACAGGAUUAGAUACCCCAGUAAAC
rnacentral:rRNA from 1 species